rnacentral:lncRNA from 1 species
UUGUAUUGCCUUGGAAAGAUUUUAAAUCAAAGCCCUUUCCUUAUUUAUCAUACCCGUUUGAAAUCAAUCCAUUAACCAAAGGAAAACAACCUGUGAUUGAUAUUCAAAUUAUUUUCUUACUUUUUUCUUACCUCUUUUCUUCACUACAAAAGGGGCUACCGUUAUACACUUUCGACACAAAACUUUUCUGCACUUAACAAGCUUUUACACGUUUGAACACUGAAUUCUCUCACAAUCGAAUUGCUUUUUCAACUUAUAGUAUCUCUGCUUUCUACUCCCCUCUUCUCCCUUUUACCUUUUGAAAUAUUCUUGAGUUCUCUCUGAACUCUCAAGUAUUUUGCAUGAAGACUUAAGUCUGCUCCUACUAAUUUUUGGUUUUCUUCUUACUCUGUUAUUCUGCUGUUUAAUUACUUUGCAACUGAUAUGUUCUUAGUUAAAUAAUGCCCCCUUCACUAUGUGUUUACUGCUUAGUUUGUUAUGCUUUCCUUCACCAUAUGUUUAUUUCUUAGUUUGUUAUGCUUUCCUUCCUUAUAUUCCUGCCAUUAAUAUUCUUACAUGAAUUCACAUUCCCUUCUAUCCCUUUGUAUGUGAGUAUAGUUCCAGCCAUAGCAGCACCUUGACAUUGUUGUCUACGACUUUCAACUAGGUUCUCUUACCAACUUAACUCAAAUCAAUUCCUACUUCCAUUUUUCCCUUUAUAUGUUGAGCCUGGCUUGGGUUUGGUAGUGUUCUAAUAAUCAUUCAAACUCAGGUCUAACCCUCAAGGGUCUGCUCCUAACUUGCUUGACCAAACAAAUGGUUAGGGUGUGUCAGUCUGCACCUAUGGCUAGGUAUGACCACUAUUUGUUAUGAUUCCCCAAUCACUUUGCACUUACUCCUAGCUCUAUGUUUUGUACCUCUCUUUCAAACCAUGCUUUGGGACCCUGGAGUUCCCUCUGAACUUGGAUGCCUGAGGGCUGGCUAUUUCACACUGCACUAUUCUAAUUCUAAAUAGGCAUCUUUGGUGUAUGCAAUGCUGGGAGUUCCUGAAAUUCCUUGGAACUUUGAAACACCCUAGAUAAAGAGAAGGAUUUGGAAAUCUAGAUUCCGGGUUAAUCUCAUGUUAUUGGACAUUAAGAUUGGAUUAGGCAGUUUGGAUCUAGCUAUUAAUUUUGAUGUAUUUUCUUUCCUUCUUUUGGUCGGUAAUAAUUUGUACAAAGAACUUUGGGAAAUAUAGUAAAAGGGUGUGGGAGGGUUUUUUACUUUCUUGCAUCAAUAAAG